CAGGAGUGCUGAAGAGAGGCUGAGAGAUUAAUAGAGAGAUAAGAAUUAUGGGGAGCAGGAGGUUUUGACUUUCCUGCAAAAUGUCCUGCAGACUGCCUGCUGAAACCUCCACCAGCAAGGUUUUACAAAGGGCUGUCUUCUAUAGCUACCUGAAAAGCAAGUGGUUUUUGUGCCUCCUAAACACAAAAGGCUUCUAAAAUGCCAGAUCAAGACUGAGUGUUCCAGCAGCAGGAAUUGAGGAGGAGGCUUUUGACAGCACAUCUGUGGCAAGAGGAGAAUGUCCCCAGCUGGGCUAUUCCACAUCUGAUACCCUGCAGGGAGGGUUUCCCGUGACCAAAUCUUCAUCCAUGCACAGAGGAGAGACACAGCAUCAGCACAGGAGAAGGAAGGGUAUGGAGGAAGGGCAGCCACAUUUCAACAAAGACAGCCGAGCAAAUCCUGCUGUUAGGUGGGUGUAAGGCCAGAGCCAACUGCCAGCUUCAACUGAGUGGAUGCAGAACCUCUCUGCUGCACCCAGAGAAAAGGAUCUGGUGCUGGAUCAAUACAAUUA